AAUGGAACUAUUUUCUUAAUUUCCUUUUUGGAUUGUUUAUUGUUAGUUGUAGAAAUGUAACCGAUUUUUGUGUGUUCAUUUUGUGUCCUUCAACUUUGCUGAAUUUAUUAGUUCUAAUUGUCCUGCUUUUAAAAUCAAAUUAAUUCCAACAUUUAAAUCUUAAUUAAAUUCAUAUCAAACUCUAGACUUCCUUUUUGUCAUGAAAUAUUGGAAGAUGUGGCACCUCUGAGCUGACAUUCCCACAUGGCACCCACCGCUUGAGGUCGAGUGGCAGCUCCUGCCUUUGGUGGAGAUGAGCAUCCUUCAGCACACUCCAGCCCCCCCACCCUUUCUGUCUCUGCUUACCAACCUCAUCCACAAGCUCUGCUCUGGCUGGCCCCUCAUGCAUUCAGCAUUCCUCCUACAUGUACUUACUGAACACCUACUGUGUACCAGACACUGUUUCAGACACUGGGAGUAUAGUGCUGAACACAACAGACAAAAAUCCCUACCUUCACAGACCUUUCCUUCGCAUAUAUCACUCAUUUAAUCCUCGAGACAGCCUCCAAGAGGUGGCCUCAUUAUGCAAAUAAGGAAAAUAAGAGACACAGAGAACUUAAGAGACUUGUCCAGGGUUACCCAGCGGGUAAGGGAAUGUCUGGAUUAGAACCUGGGCAGCCUGGCUUAAGAAUUCAAAUUGUCAGCUGCUAUUACUUGCCCGUCAGUGGCAGAAGGACCCAGAGGUGAAGACUUGGCAACAGAGGCAGGGUGGCAUGGACAGGGGACAGACCGGCCUGGCCAGUGGUCAUAGAGCCAGGAUCAGGCCUUCUGUGGGCUCCACAGAGUGUGCUGCCAGGGCCACCCGGCUGGCCUCUGGGCUGAGUUUCCUUGAGGUUGUCUGGAUUCCGGGCCCUCUGGCCUUCCCAGCUCAGCAGUUUUGGCCUGGGAGAGGCCACUUUUCCUUAGCAGACAGCUGAUGAUCAUUGCUGGGCUUGGUGGGAGGUAAAGAGGUAACCAGCAGGUUUUCUCUCUGUGAUAGUAAGAGGCCGCCUUGGAAGCAAACAGCUGAGAAAACACAGACCUGGGCUGGCCGGCCCCGCCCUCGGUCGAGCAGCUUCUGCCUGUGAAGUGUAAAUGCAGGUGGUGUCAAGUAGGCAGACAGGCCCAGCUCCCUCUUCCCCUUGAGCAGGCAGGGCCGAGGCCCCCUGCAGCAGGCCCGUGACUUAGUUGCUCUGGCUGAUGAAGAGCUUGGGCCUGGGAGGAGUGUCGCACAGCCCCAGCCUGGUCCGUCCUCAGCCCUGGAUUGACGUCCAUGCUGUCCUGGAACCGUCUCAGCGGCCUAGUGGGGAACCUGCUUUCUCCUCCAUCCUGUGUCUUGGGCUCAGGCAUGUGCCCGCUGCCCCUUUGCGGCCACAAGUAUGUAUCGAGCCCACGGUGGCGCUCGGGACCCUCCCCUGGUGGGCUUAGAGACACGGAUGGCCUUUGCUGGCUGGGAGCUGCGGUGAGUGUGUGAAGGGCCCUCGGUCUCCCCUGAGGAAGGCCCUGCCUUCUGGCUCUGCCUGCUUUUGGCUUUCACUGCUCCCAGGCCGUCUCCCAUCGGCCUUCCCCAGGUGCCUCCACUUCUCUCUGACUUCUUGCCUGUUUUCCCUAAUUCUGAGAGAUUGCCUGCCUUCAAGUACAGGAGAAAGCGGACAUCUUCCCCACAAGCCCGAGACCUACACCCAGUAGAGCUGGCCAACCACCUGCCACGGAGCAGGUCACUGGUGCCUGGGCCAGAGUGCUCGUGGUGCCAGUCUGCUGCGUCUCAGCCACAGUCCCCCUGCUCUGCUGCCCGCAACAAGCCAGAGAUGACCUAGUGUCUGACAUCUCUGAGUAAAGGGGCCUUUUACAGCCCCUUCCUCAACUCCCUCACCACCCCCCAUGCUCCCCGAGCCUGAUCCCCCCACAUUGCAGCCACCUCCUUCUGGGCACCCCUCUGAGAUUCCAGACAGAACCCAGGAGCCCCCAGGUUCCCAUUGUGAUGCAAGGACAGAACAGAACCCCGGGCCGCAGGCAGGUGGCCAGUGGCUAUCCCGCCUCCCACCCCCAGCAAACACUGGCAAACCCCGCUCUCCUUGCAUCGGGGUCGGAGUGCCUGGCAGUGACGACAGUGGAGACGAUCAAGGUGGAACACCUGAAGGAGAAGCUCAUUAGCCAGGCCCAGGAAGUGAGCCGACUGCGAUCUGAGCUGGGGGGCACCGACUUGGAGAAGCACCGGGACCUGCUGAUGGUGGAGAAUGAGCGACUGAGACAGGAGAUGCGGCGCUGCGAGGCCGAGCUGCAAGAGCUACGUGCAAAGCCAGCAGGUCCCUGCCUGGGUUGUGAGCACAGCCAGGAGAGUGCCCAGCUCCGUGACAAGCUGUCCCAGCUGCAGCUGGAGAUGGCGGAGAGCAAAGGCAUGCUGUCAGAGCUGAACCUGGAGGUGCAGCAGAAGACUGACCGGCUGGCUGAGGUGGAGCUGCGGCUCAAGGACUGCCUGGCUGAGAAGGCACAGGAGGAGGAGCGACUCAGCCGGCGCCUGCGUGACAGCCACGAGACCAUUGCCAGCCUGCGGGCCCAGUCCCCACCUGUCAAGUAUGUCAUCAAGACAGUGGAGGUGGAGUCGUCUAAGACCAAGCAGGCCCUCAGCGAGUCCCAGGCCCGCAACCAGCACCUGCAGGAGCAGGUGGCUAUGCAGAGGCACGUGCUGAAGGAGAUGGAACAGCAGCUGCAGAGCUCACACCAGCUGACCGCGCGGCUCCGGGCGCAGAUUGCCAUGUACGAGUCAGAGCUGGAGCGGGCCCAUGGGCAGAUGCUGGAGGAGAUGCAGUCCCUGGAAGAGGACAAGAACCGGGCCAUUGAGGAGGCCUUUGCCAGAGCCCAGGUGGAGAUGAAGGCUGUGCACGAGAAUCUAGCAGGCGUCCGGACCAACCUGCUGACCCUGCAGCCAGCACUGCGGACCCUCACCAACGACUACAACGGGCUCAAGCGGCAGGUGCGCGGCUUCCCGCUGCUGCUGCAGGAGGCCCUCAGGAGUGUCAAGGCCGAGAUAGGCCAGGCCAUCGAGGAGGUCAACAGCAACAACCAGGAGCUGCUGCGCAAGUACCGCCGUGAGCUGCAGCUGCGCAAGAAGUGCCACAACGAGCUCGUGCGGCUGAAAGGGAACAUCCGAGUGAUUGCUCGUGUCCGGCCAGUCACCAAAGAGGAUGGGGAAGGACCUGAGGCCACCAAUGCUGUGACUUUCGAUGCCGACGACGACUCCAUCAUCCACCUGCUGCACAAGGGAAAGCCUGUGUCCUUCGAGCUGGACAAGGUGUUCUCCCCACAGGCCUCGCAGCAGGAUGUGUUCCAGGAGGUGCAGGCCCUGAUCACCUCUUGCAUCGAUGGCUUCAAUGUCUGCAUCUUUGCGUACGGCCAGACGGGUGCUGGCAAGACAUACACGAUGGAGGGGACCCCUGAGAACCCAGGUAUCAACCAGCGGGCCCUGCAGCUGCUCUUCUCCGAGGUGCAGGAGAAGGCGUCUGACUGGGAGUACACCAUCACCGUCAGCGCCGCGGAGAUCUACAACGAGGUCCUCAGGGACCUGCUAGGGAAAGAGCCUCAGGAAAAACUGGAGAUCCGGCUAUGCCCAGAUGGCAGUGGGCAGCUGUAUGUACCAGGGCUGACUGAGUUCCAGGUGCAGAGCGUGGACGACAUCAACAAGGUGUUUGAGUUCGGCCACACCAAUCGCACGACGGAGUUCACCAACCUCAACGAGCACAGCUCCCGCUCGCAUGCGCUGCUCAUCGUGACGGUGCGAGGCAUGGACUGCAGCACGGGCCUCCGCACCACGGGGAAGCUGAACCUGGUGGACUUGGCUGGCUCCGAGCGCGUGGGCAAGUCGGGGGCUGAGGGCAGCCGCCUGCGGGAGGCACAGCACAUCAACAAGUCGCUGUCAGCUCUGGGGGACGUCAUUGCUGCCCUGCGCUCCCGCCAGGGCCACGUGCCCUUCCGCAACUCCAAGCUCACCUACCUGCUGCAGGAUUCACUUAGUGGUGACAGCAAGACCCUCAUGGUGGUACAGGUGUCCCCUGUGGAGAAGAACACUAGCGAGACGCUCUAUUCUCUCAAGUUUGCUGAGCGGGUGCGCUCUGUGGAGCUGGGGCCUGGGCUACGCAGGGCAGAGCUUGGGUCCUGGUCGAGCCAGGAACAUCUAGAGUGGGAGCCGGCUUGUCAGACGCCACAGCCCUCAGCACGGGCCCACUCAGCCCCCAGCUCUGGGACCAGUAGCCGCCCUGGAUCCAUCCGGAGGAAGCUGCAGCCCUCGGGUGAGCCUGGGGUGGAAGUGUGGGUGGGGGAGUCUCCCCAGGAUAAUAGUCACCAGGCUGCCCUUACCUGGAUUGGCUUUCUAUUUUCUUUCCUUUUUAAAAAGUUCUUACAACUUCUCCAGAACCUGUUUUACAACCUCCCCUGCCCCCAGGCAGUCGUCAGGGCAGACAGUGCUGUGUUCAGUCUGCAGGUGGGAAAUGAAAGGUCCGUGGGGAGGGGUAGUGUAAGGAGACCCCAGCCUCCCAGCUUGGGGUGCUGACUUUACCCUGGGACCCUGCUCUCUGAGGGUGGGCUGGCUGGGCCUGUGCAGUAAGCCCCCUCCAGAGCAGUCCCUGCAUCCCCCUCCCUGCACCUCAGCUGCCCUGGGGAUAGAAAGGGCAGGGCUUGCCUACGUCCUAGGUGAGGAGUGAGCCCCACCACAGGACUGGGAUCCAGGACUCCAGCCCCUGUUUAGCCCAGAUCAUGGGAAGGCCUGGCCUGUCCUUGAGUCCAAAGGGGUAGCAGCAGCAGGGUCCUGUGGGGUACUGGCCUGAGGCAGGCCCACCAGUGAGACGCCUGUCACUUUGAUUUCAGCCUGACGGCUGGGGCUGCAGCCUCUAGGGAAGUCGCGGCCACUGCCUGUGUGACGGAUGUGACCCCGCUGGGCCUGGAGCUGGGCCCCGAGGCCUCACUGGCCUGUUCCUGCUGCAGCGCCAGGACCCCCGGAGGUGGAGGCAAGAGUGAAGGCUCCUCUUCUGCCCCGUCUCCCCUCAGAGAUGAGAAACAUGUUCAGAAGGAAACGGUGUCUCUCGGCUGUGGCUCUGGGUGCAAAUUGCAUGGGCGGAAAAGCGGGGGUGGCUGCUCUUCCUGGCGGGCCUGGGCUGUCAGUGAGCUGGGCCCCGUGAGGAGGGCAGGAGAGUGGAGGAGGGCGGGCCUCUCACCCAGGCUGCCCCAGCUCCUCUCCUCAGCUUGCAGGACUGGCCAGCCCCUUCCUUCGUGGGUGGGCAAGGAGCCUCCUGGCAGGCUCAAGAACCAUGCGGACUGGGGUGGGUUGGUGGCACCAAGGGCAGCCCUCCCCGCCCCUCUCCUUCAAGGAGGGGUCCCGCAGCUGGGGUGUGUACAGAGGCGCACGGCCUCCUGCCACGGGGCCGCGCCAUAUUUAUGGCUGACAGAGGCAGCCAGUGGGUGGGGGAUUCUGCUGCUCCCUCACCUGCCUGGCUCACUGGUCUCUUGAAUUUUCUUCCCUCUGAAAUCUAUUUAAGAACUUUUGGAAGCUUAGCCAUUUUUACUUAUUAAAAUAAAAGCCUUUUUACACAA